GUGUCCGGUUUACUCGGUCAGGUUCGGAAGAAAGCAGCCAAAGUCGGAAUUUCUGUGUGCCGAGAAUAAGCUGGGAAGA
rnacentral:SRP_RNA from 1 species